CAUCUUACCGGGCAGCAUUAGAAUGUGUUAGAGCUCUAAUACUGUCAGGUAAAGAUGUC
rnacentral:pre_miRNA from 1 species